UACGGAGGGUGCGAGCGUUGUCCGGAUUUAUUGGGUUUAAAGGGUGCGUAGGCGGCCCCUUAAGUCAGCGGUGAAAGCCCGGGGCUCAACCCCGGAACCGCCGUUGAUACUGGGGGGCUUGAGUAUGGACGAGGUUGGCGGAAUUGAGGGUGUAGCGGUGAAAUGCUUAGAUACCCUCAAGAACACCGAUUGCGUAGGCAGCUAACUAGGCCAUAACUGACGCUGAGGCACGAAAGCGUGGGGAGCGAACAGG
rnacentral:rRNA from 1 species